UACGGUCUCAGUUCAGAUUGCAGGCUGCAACUCGCCUGCACGAAGUCGGAAUUGCUAGUAAUCGUAGGUCAGCAUACUACGGUGAAUACGUUCCCGGGCCUUGUACACACCGCCCGUCAAACCAUGAGAGUUGGCAACACCCGAAGUCGGUAGUCUAACCGCAAGGAGGACGCCGCCGAAGGUGGGGUUGAUGAUUAGGGUUAAGUCGUAACAAGGUAGC
rnacentral:rRNA from 1 species